GACGAACCGUCCAAACGUUAUUCGGAAUCACUGGGCUUAAAGGGUGCGUAGGCGGUCUGUUAAGUUGGGUGUGAAAGACCUCGGCCUAACCGAGGAAUGGCGCCCAAAACUAGCGGACUUGAGCAAGGCAGAGGUGAACGGAACUUAGGGUGGAGCGGUGAAAUGCGUUGAUAUCCUAAGGAACACCAGUAGCGAAAGCGGUUCACUGGGCCUUUUCUGACGCUGAUGCACGAAAGCCAGGGGAG
rnacentral:rRNA from 1 species